GUGGCCUUAGCUCAGCUGGGAGAGCGUCAGACUGAAGUCCAACUUCUAGUCCUCGUCUUCGAGAUUAUCUGAAGGUCGUGUGUUCGAGCCACACAGGCCACA
rnacentral:tRNA from 1 species